rnacentral:rRNA from 1 species
GAGUUUGAUCGUGGCUCAGAUUGAACGCUGGCGGCAUGCCUUACACACGCAAGUCGAACGGUAACAGGUCUUCGGAUGCUGACGAGUGGCGAACGGGUGAGUAAUACAUCGGAACGUGCCCGAUCGUGGGGGAUAACGGAGCGAAAGCUUUGCUAAUACCGCAUACGAUCUACGGAUGAAAGCAGGGGACCGCAAGGCCUUGCGCGGACGGAGCGGCCGAUGGCAGAUUAGGUAGUUGGUGGGAUAAAAGCUUACCAAGCCGACGAUCUGUAGCUGGUCUGAGAGGACGACCAGCCACACUGGGACUGAGACACGGCCCAGACUCCUACGGGAGGCAGCAGUGGGGAAUUUUGGACAAUGGGCGAAAGCCUGAUCCAGCCAUGCCGCGUGCAGGAUGAAGGCCUUCGGGUUGUAAC